rnacentral:rRNA from 1 species
AUUGAACGCUGGCGGCAGGCCUAACACAUGCAAGUCGAGCGGAGCGGCGGACGGGUGAGUAAUGCCUAGGAAUCUGCCUGGUAGUGGGGGAUAACGUCCGGAAACGGGCGCUAAUACCGCAUACUAUCAGAUGAGCCUAGGUCGGAUUAGCUAGUUGGUGGGGUAAAGGCCUACCAAGGCGACGAUCCGUAACUGGUCUGAGAGGAUGAUCAGUCACACUGGAACUGAGACACGGUCCAGACUCCUACGGGAGGCAGCAGUGGGGAAUAUUGGACAAUGGGCGAAAGCCUGAUCCAGCCAUGCCGCGUGAGUGAAGAAGGUCUUCGGAUUGUAAAACUCUGUAGUUAGAGAAGCGGUACCUACACAGUAAGCAACGGCUAACUACGUGCCAGCCGCCGCGGUAAUAC